GUGAGGACUAAGCAGAGCAGUCAACAGGGGGCCAGAAGCCCUGGAUCUGGUCUCAAGAAGCACAGGAAAGGAGACAAGAGCACUGGAGCCCACCAUCUCUGGCAGACAGCUCAGAGACAAGACGUUCGCCAGCUCAAGCCACCUAAGCUUCUCCUCUUCCAGCCCCAGGAUGACAGGCUCUGUCAUCUAGGCAGACCAGGGUUUGUUUUUCUUCCACUUCUUACCAUGUGAUUGGGAGGAAGGACACCAAAACACCACCACCAACUUGCAGAGACAAAGUGGCGUGAAAAGAGUCCCCCAUUCUCCACUUCAGAUGGCUUGGCAUGCACUCAGGGGAUAACUCGGAGAUCUGCCAGGGA